GGAUAGUUCAGUUGGUUAGAGCAUGGUACUAGUAAUGCCAAGGUUGCAAAUUUGAUCCUUAUGUGGGACA